AGCAGCCGCGGUAAUUCCAGCUCCAAUAGCGUAUAUUAAAGUUAGUUGCAGUUAAAAAGCUCGUAGUUGAAUUUCGAGACCGGUUUAUUGGUCGUGCUUUUGUACGUACUGGUAUUAUUGGUUUCUCCUUUCUGUACGAAUCUUAAAUGCCAUUAAUUUGGUGUUUUGGGGAAUCAGGACUGUUAC
rnacentral:rRNA from 1 species